UCAGCCAAUGAUAUUUUAUUCUGGUGCCAUGGGACAUUGGUCACGGCUAGUCCGUUCUACAUUCACACUGAACAGCAAGCCAUCAGCACACGACAUAAUACUGUGCUAUUCUCAACGAUUUCUAGAUUAUUUGUUCAUCUUUUCUGCGACGGUUACACAGGAUGAGGAAUUGCCAUUAAUACUCAGCAAACAGUUCGGUCCAUAGCCCACAGCCAAGAAGGGGGCCCUCUCACAUGGACGGAAAACAAAGACUGGCUAGUUCUUGCCUAACUUACAGCGUUU